GGGCGAUCUGGCUGCGACACCCUAUUGAUCGCCAGGGUUGAUUCUGCUGAUCUGGCUGGCUAGGCAGGUGUCCCCUUCCUCCAUAUGCAUCCCUCCCGAAACGCCUUGUCCAGGACAACCAUCCCCAUAGAGGAGGACUGGUCUUUGGUUGAGGGUGUAGGAGUACCUGUGCUCCCCUGCUUGAACACCCAAACAAGCCCUCAAGGUCUUUAUUAAUAUUUUAAACUCAAAAUUUCAAUAAGAGCUGGUUAAUUAUUUGGAUGUUUAAGAAAAUUAUAAAUACUAAGUAUCUUUGCUAUUUGUUU
ensembl:misc_RNA 7SK 7SK RNA